rnacentral:rRNA from 1 species
GAUGAACGCUGGCGGCGUGCUUAACACAUGCAAGUCGAACGGAAAGGCCCAAGCUUGCUUGGGUGCUCGAGUGGCGAACGGGUGAGUAACACGUGGGUGAUCUGCCCUGCACUUUGGGUUAAGCCUGGGAAACUGGGUCUAAUACCGGAUAGGACCAUCGUUUAGUGUCGGUGGUGGAAAGUUUUUCGGUGUGGGAUGAGCUCGCGGCCUAUCAGCUUGUUGGUGGGGUAAUGGCCUACCAAGGCGUCGACGGGUAGCCGGCCUGAGAGGGUGUACGGCCACAUUGGGACUGAGAUACGGCCCAGACUCCUACGGGAGGCAGAAGUGGGGAAUAUUGCACAAUGGGCGCAAGCCUGAUGCAGCGACGCCGCGUGGGGGAUGACGGCCUUCGGGUUGUAAACUUCUUGCGCCAAGGACGAAGCGUUUUGUGACGGUACUUGGAGAAGAAGCACCGGCUAACUACGUG